GACGUAGGUGGCGAGCGUUAUCCGGAUUUACUGGGCGUAAAGGGCGUGUAGGCUGCCCCUCAAGUGGUGUAUGAAAGGGCUCGGCUCAACCGGGCUAGGUUAUGCCAGACUGAGGGGCUAGAGAGCGAGAGCGGGACGUGGAAUUCCGGGUGUAGUGGUGAAAUGCGUAGAGAUCCGGAGGAACCCCAGAGGCGAAGGCGGCGUCCUGGCACGCAUCUGACGCUCAGACACGACAGCAUGGGGAGCGAACGGG
rnacentral:rRNA from 1 species